GGGAAGUGGCGAAAGGGGCAGUAAGGCGUGGGUAACCUACCUCGGGGUCCGGGAUAGCCGCCCUAACGGGCGGGUAAUACCGGGCGACGUGGCUUGGGGACAUCCCCGGGCCACCAAAGGUCCGCCGCCCCGGGCGGGGCCCACGUGGUAUUAGCUAGACGGCGGGGUAACGGCCCACCGUGGCCAAGAUGCCUAGCAGGUGUGAGAGCACGACCUGCGCCACUGGCACUGCGACACUGGCCAGACACCUACGGGUGGCUGCAGUCGAGGAUCUUCGGCAAUGGGCGCAAGCCUGACCGAGCGACGCCGCGUGCGCGAUGAAGGCCUUCGGGUUGUAAAGCGCUGUCGAGGGGGAGGAAAGCCCGCAAGGGCCUGACCUAUCCCUGGAGGAAGCACGGGCUAAGUUCGUGCCAGCAGCCGCGGUAAGACGAACCGUGCGAACGUUG
rnacentral:rRNA from 1 species